rnacentral:rRNA from 1 species
CGGCGGACGGGUGAGUAACGCGUGGGUAACCUACCCUGUACACACGGAUAACAUACCGAAAGGUAUGCUAAUACGGGAUAAUAUAUUUGGGAGGCAUCUCUUGAAUAUCAAAGGUGAGCCAGUACAGGAUGGACCCGCGUCUGAUUAGCUAGUUGGUAAGGUAACGGCUUACCAAGGCGACGAUCAGUAGCCGACCUGAGAGGGUGAUCGGCCACAUUGGAACUGAGACACGGUCCAA